rnacentral:rRNA from 1 species
GGAUUUCAACGAGUGUUUUAUGGCACUCUUUAAAAUCCAUAUCCACCUUGUGUGCAAUGUUUGUUGGGAAAGUCUUUUCUUUCCCUUCAUAAAUAUCAACCUAUAUCUUUAACAACAUUCGUCUGAUAACAUAUUAUGAAUAUACUUAAUUCAAAAUAUAACUUUCAACAACGGAUCUCUUGGCUCUCGCAUCGAUGAAGAACGCAGCGAAAUGCGAUACGUAAUGUGAAUUGCAGAAUUCAGUGAAUCAUCGAAUCUUUGAACGCAUAUUGCGCUCUUUGGUAUUCCGAAGAGCAUGCUUGUUUGAGUAUCAGUAAACACCUCAACCUCUCUUUUUUGAUAAAAAAAAGGGAGGGUGGACUUGAGCUAUCCCAACGACCUUCACCGGUAGGCGGGCGGCUUGAAAUGCAGGUGCAGCUGGACUUUUAUCUGAGCUAAAAGCAUAUCUAUUUAGUCCUCGUCAAACAGGAUUAUUACUUUUGCUGCAGCUAACAUAAAGGAUAAUUGUCCUCUUUGCUGACUGAUGCAGGAUUUUACGACACUUUAUGUGUUGUUCAACUCGAUCUCAAAUCAAGUAAGACUACCCGCUGAACUUAAGCAUAUCAUAG